ACUGGAUUACUGAAUUUUACUUUAUUUUAUAUAUGCAUGCUUAAUUUCAGUUGUUGCGUUUCUAUUUUCGACCUUGAUAUUUGAAUUGUGUCUAUAUCGAUACAUAAAUAAUAAUAUUGUGAGAAGUAAAAAUGAAUUCUUGGGUAUCUGGACCUUAUAAUUCAUUGCACAAUCACAGGCAUUAAGAAGAACGUUUAACCAGACUGAGACGCUGAUACCGGCAGAGAUCACGGAAGAUGUGAAAAAGGAGAUCGAGAAAUGUUGGAGCAGAUUUUCUGGUCCCAUUUGAAGAUUCCCAGAACAUCUGGAGACACGAAACUGCCCGGAGGUUAAACAUCGGCCUUCUGCUUCAAGGAAAGGUCAACCUGAUGGAGCUGGAUAUCAAAUAUCCAGCAAAACUGCUCUGUGACAAAGGACACAGUGGAUGCGUUUUCGGUAGCACUGUGGUGUAGCGAGAAGAGCCUGAGUGCUGCAGAGAAGAGAACAUCUUGGAAAACAAGUGAUGGCAAACGCAGCUGUGAAGUAAAGAUACAGGUGGAGGACACAUAAAGACUGACCUGUACCAGAAAUCAUGGUAUAAGGCAGGGUACAUCCUGGACACAAAGGUGGACAGUGCGAAUCUCUGGGUGAAAAGGCUCCAUCUCCUGCCCAUGGGGGACAACUGGAGAACCACAAGCAAGCAGCAGAAACUGCAGCAGGAGGCCUCUACAAGUACUGCAAGAAGAGGAGUAAAGGUGUCAAAGUGAAUGACGGCAGUGAGUGACGUGUGUUUAAACUGUAUUUGUUUUCUAAUGUAAAUUAUC
rnacentral:lncRNA from 1 species